GCCAAGUGUUGUGAAGGGUAGACUACACAAAUAGAAUAAUAUGUUUUGACAUUUAAAUAAAGAAGGGAUGGUGACUUUCUGAACUGUUAGAGUUAAACCAAUGGUUUAAAGUAAUAUAGAAACAUAUUGGUAUUUGAGUUGUGAUUGGAUUAUAUUGACCAAAAUGUCAGGUGUUGGAAUUUCCCUGUAACAUCCACCAGAAACAACAAUUUCACAGCUACAAUAGGCUAUUUCUUUAAAUAAAUGCCCCCAGACCCCCCAUUGACCCCAACCCCAAGUUCCACCCUUGGUUGGCCAGCAUAACCCUUUCAAUUCUAACCAAACAAUGUCCAUAAUUUGCCCUGUGGCUGUAGUUGAGAGAUCAAUUCGAGCACUCCAAGAUCUCAAAAUGUAUUCAUUGCAACACUGUGUCAUAAUGCACCCUUACUUUGCGCAAGGCGCACUGACCAUACUGCCAUGUGUGAUGUUAAGAAAAUUAUUUGUUUAUAGGAAAUACACUUUUCAUUUUUUGACCUCCAUGUACUGUGAGAAGAGAUAAUAUGUUUGGGCAAACUUAGAAAAACAUAUCAUAUAGAUCAGAUACAAGCAAUAUAGUGUAUUUUUUAAGAUAUUAGGCUAAUAUUCUACAUGAAAUGUGAAAGGUCAGCCCAUUACUGUGAAACCGGAUUUACCUGUUCUGCACUGGCCUACACAUUCACACAACACAAUGAGCACACCUUGGCCAAUGGCCAUACUAAAGGACUUCCUAUCAGUGGAACUCAGUCAGAUCAUCAAUUCACAGCUAACGGCAAGGUGUAACUGGAGCGGCUGUUGCGUUGAAUGGAGUUCAACCGACCCAAAGCUCCAGGGGGAGGGCCUGGAGAUGGAGAGGGAGGACAAGUUGUCCUGAGCACGCUGGAUGAACUCAAGCCUUGGAGGAGUGAACAGAAGCUUGAAGAGCAUGGAGGGCAAGGAGGGCUGUCUUCAACCGACACCACUAACGCAGCCAAGACAGACCCCAAAGCUCCUGCAGCAGGACCUGGAAAGGUUGACUUGCACUCAUUCCACAGCUCCCCAUCUUCAGACAGCGAGGAGGAGGACAAAUGCAAGAAGGAAAAGAAAAAGAAGCUGAAGAAGAGGAAGAAGAAGGAUUCCAGUUCAUCCUCUUCUUCCUCCUCCUCUGACAGCAGCUCUUCAGACAGUGAAGAUGAGAAGAAGAAGAAGAAGAAGAAGGCAAAGAAAGAAGGUGCUGGGGAUAUCAUAGUACAUGACGCAGCCUUCAUAUCUGAGCCUGGGCUUGAAGGCUUCACUGAUCUAAACAACGAGGAAACAAAGAAGAAAAAGGAUAAUUCAGGCUCAGACAGUGAAGAGGACAAGAAGAAGAAGAAGAAGAAGAAGAAGAAGAAGAAGAAGGAUUCCAGCUCUUCUUCUUCAUCUUCCAGCUCAUCAUCCUCUUCAUCAUCCUCCUCAGACAGUGAGGAGGAGAAGAAGAAAAAGAAGAAAAAGAAGAAGAAAAAGGAUUCCAGCUCCUCAUCUUCAUCCUCUGAUAGCUCUUCAUCCUCCUCAUCCUCAGACAGCGACAAGGACAAGAAGAAGAAGAAGAAGAAGAAGAAGAAGAAGAAGAAAAAGGAUUCUAGAUGUUCUUCUGACAGCGAGGCAGACAAAAAAAAGGGAGAAGAGGCAGACGGACAGGGCAAGGAUGAGUACAGCUGUGCUGCUGGCGUUUCAGCAGCUGGUAAGGAGGGUGCUGGGCUGGAGGGUACCCUGGGACAGAAAUCGGGCAAAGAAAAACAUGAGAAGAAGAAAGACAAGAAAGACAAGAAGACGAAGAAAGAAAAGAGAACGGACAAGUGCAAGAAUGACAAAGCAAAGGAGGGUGGUGCAUCAGCUGAAUGGAUUUGUGGCAGAGAUUUUCCUGAAGGAAUGGAAGCUGGAAAUCUGAGUGACGACGAGAGAGAAGGAGAAGGAGGCAAGAAGAAAGAGAAGAAGAAGAAGUUGAAGAAAAAGAAGAAGGACUCUGGCUGUUCAUCCUCUUCUUCAUCAUCUACAUCCUCAGAAAGCUCUUCCUCUUCAGACAGCGAGGAUGACAAAAAGAAGAAGAAAAAGAAGAUGAAGAAGAAGAAAGCUGAGGAUUCCAGUUCUUCAUCUUCCUCCUCCUCGUCUUCAUCCUCCUCUUCCUCCUCAUCCUCUUCUGAUAGCGAGGAGGAAAAUAAAAAGAGGAAGAAAAAGAAGGAUUCUAGUUCUUCAUCCUCUGACAGCUCCUCCUCCUCUGACAGCGAUGAUGACAAAAAGAAAAAGAAGAAGAAGAUGAAGAAGAUGAAGAAGAAGAAAAAGGAUUCCAGCUCUGAUGAUUCAGAUAGCGAGAAAGACAAGAAGAAGAAGAAGAAGAAGAAGAAGAAGACAAAGAAAAAGGAUUCCUGCUCAUCAGACAGCGAAGACGAUAAGAAGAAAAAGAAGAAGAAGAAGGAUAAGAAGGACGAUUCUGACAGCGAGGAAGACAAGAAAAAGAAGAAGGACAAGAAGAAGAAAAAGAAGGACAAGAAGAAAAAGAAGAAGAAGGAUAAGGACUCUGACAGCGAGGAAGACAAGAAAAAGAAAAAGAAGGGCAAGAAGAAAAGGAAGGAUACGAAGGACUCAUCUGACAGCGAGGAUGAUAAGAAAAAGAAGAAGAAAAAGAAGGAUUCUGGUUCUGACAGCAAGGAAGAGAAGAAGAAGAAAGACAAGAAGAAGGAUAAGAAGAAGAAAGACAAGAAGAAGGAUAAGAAGAAGAAAGACAAGAAGAAGGAUAAGAAAAAGAAAGACAAGAAGAAGAAAAAGGAUGACUCCUCAUCUGGAAGUGAUGAUGAUAAGAAAAAGAAGAAGAAGAAGGAGAAGAAGAAAGAAAAGGGUUCCUCUUCUGGAAGUGAUGAUGAUGAGGAGAAAAAGAAGAAAGACAAGAAGGACUCCUGUUCCGAUGUUGAGGGAGAAUCUAAGAAAAAAACAAAGAAAGAUGACAACAAGAAAGAGGAUGGACCUGAGAAUGAAAAGUGUGGAGAGCUGAAAAAGGAGGGGAAAUAUGUAGGUGGCUUGGUGAUGGGAGGAGGGUGCAUGGAUAGUAAACCAUCUGACGAGGGAUCAGCUAUUCGCCCGAAACCCACCCUGAAGUUGGAGCCUUGGGGGCCGUCGGCAGACGCCAGACCCAACACUCGCUAUGAGUCACUUUAUAGCCCCUCGCACUCUCUCAGUCCCAGGGAGAGCAGCCCCUCCCGCCCGCCACUCAGUCCCUUGGAGGCCCUGAUGCGGAACCCAACCUGGACCAGCGACCGUGACCCAAUGACUGGGAGAGGACCAGCCAGCAGCAGAACCACACUGCUCAAAUCCAGUGAUCUACUCAGGGGUCCUAAGCCUUAUCAGCCUUAA
rnacentral:lncRNA from 8 species